UCUGUUCGAGAUCACACAAAGGAACUUGAGAGCUUCCUGGGACCGUCUUGUUUGAUAUCACCCACUUGUGUCUCACCUUGCUUGUCCCCUGUUAGGACCCACAUCUUGAUGUUGGCCAGGGAGAGCAGAGCGAUGGUCUCCGGGACACCUUCUUGCAGUUUGUCCUCUAUAGCUGUAGCACCCAGCAACUAGACAGUAGACAUUGAAUUGCCUUAAAGAGACUUUAACGUGAAGAUCCCUGUAGGCCAGAGCCAGUGUCCGUAGACCAUCAGUAGCGUACUCCUGGAGAUACCCCAUACCAAAUAAAGGUUGCGUGAGCUGGUGUUGCCACCACGACAGCAGAUGGCAGCAGAGUCACCCAUGACUGAUUCUGUGGUCGGUGACUCACAUUGAGGUGGUCUGAGGUCAUGUUGAUCAGGUCUUGCUUACAGGGGCGGAGCCUCUCGAACAACACGGUGUCAGCUCCUUUGCAGUACAGACGGAUCCUGCCCUCGGGGUUACGGACUGACAAACAAA